CCGGGUUACCGGGUUACGGGUUUACGGUUUAACGGUUUAACGGUUUAACGGUUUACGGGGUUUACGGGGUUAACGGGGUUAAACCGGGGUUAACCGGUAACCGUAACCCGUAAACCGGUAACCGGUAACCGGUAACGUAACGUAACGUAACGUAACCGGUACCCGUACCGGUACGGUAACGGGUACGGGUACGGUACCGGUACCGACCGUAACCGUACGGGUACGGUACGGUACGGUAACGAACCGGACCCGACCGUACCGUACCGUACCGGGUACGGGUACGACGACGACGGUAACGGGUAACGGUACGUUACGGUACGUAACGUACGGGGUAACCGGUACGUACCGACGACGAACGACCGCGUNCGGUAGUGAAGAAGGUUUUCGGAUCGUAAAGCUCUGUUGUAAGAGAAGAACGGGUGUGAGAGUGGAAAGUUCACACUGUGACGGUAUCUUACCAGAAAGGGACGGCUAACUACGUGCCAGCAGCCGCGGUAAUACGUAGGUCCCGAGCGUUGUCCGGAUUUAUUGGGCGUAAAGCGAGCGCAGGCGGUUAGAUAAGUCUGAAGUUAAAGGCUGUGGCUUAACCAUAGUAUGCUUUGGAAACUGUUUAACUUGAGUGCAGAAGGGGAGAGUGGAAUUCCAUGUGUAGCGGUGNAAAUGCGUAGAUAUAUGGAGGAACACCGGUGGCGAAAGCGGCUCUCUGGUCUGUAACUGACGCUGGUCGACGCGGCCG
rnacentral:rRNA from 1 species